rnacentral:tRNA from 1 species
UGCUUGGGUAGCUCAGUUGGUAGAGCAUUUGCCCACAAAGGCAAAGGUCCCGAGUUCGAGUCUCGGUCCGGCAC